GAUAUUGCAAAUAUUUCCUGGUUCCAGCCAGAUUCCAGAGGGGAUGUGUUAAUUUCCUGUUUCCUGUAGCCAUUUACAGGUGGGCCAGAUCAGGAUGUUUCUGUGAGUUAAAUAAAGGUAUUUUAGUGCUUGCUUCGGCAGCACAUAUACUAAAUAAAGGUAUUUUAGCUUAACAUUUACAGCAGGCUUGGUUCCCAGGGAUAGGCCUUUAUGUACACUUAACUUUAGUGAUUAGCCUGUAGCAAAAGCAGUAGAAUAUGAAGGUUAAGAUAAAAGAAAUGGAUACAGUAUGACGUCAGAUUUAUUCUUCCCUAUUACACCCUGCCCGGCUAGUUCAGUCAGUAGAGCAUGAGACUCUUAUUCUUCCCUAUUACAUUCUAACACCUCAAAUUUUCUCACUCCUUUCCCUCUUUUCUAUAAGACCCAUCAACAUGCAAGAAGCAUGCCUAAAACCACCUGCAAGGAAUUAAUCAAAUUGGGUGGCAAUUGUGGGAAUAGCUCCUACUAGUAUGAUUUUCCAUGUUACUGCUAUAGUUCAGCAUAAUUGGGCUUAGAUAGACAAAUAAACUAGUAUAGGACAGAAUUUCUCAUGGAUUGACUUGUGUCCCUUUGAUAUUGUGAUUUUAUAAUAAGAAAUUUUCUAUUUGUUGUUUGUCACUCUUCCUGGGCAGAGCUCCCCAAACCCUUGUAAUUUCCCAAGUGAUUAGAGCAAUAAAUGCAUUUUUUUUUUGCUACUCCUAAGAAAGCCCUUUCAAUCACACCUGAGUGUGUUAAUGAGGUGACUUUUCAGAAAGGUCAUGAGGAUGGGGGCCCAUUGCCAGAGGAACCAACCUGGUGAGUAAAAGGUUAGAAUUUUCAACCUUUUCAAAGAACUUAUGAUAAUUAUAAUUAAACAAUGUGACUGUACAAUUAAAUAAUACAGUUCUACAAUUGUAUUAUUAAUAACCAUUUCUCUCCAUGGUACAAUGUAAGGUCUAUAAUGUCUUGUUUAUCACAUCACCUAGAAUGGUGUAAUGCCUAUAUUGAAGAAUCAAUAAGAUGUAACAAAUUGAGGACAUAUUUAUAUAGUUACAUUGUUUUUUAACCAAUUUAUGCGUUUUAUAUUUUACUUAUUCUCAGAGGGUGUAUUAUUUUUGUUAUUCUUACCAGUUAAGUCAUUCUUUUUGUUAUGCUAUAUAAAAUAUUUAAUGGUAUAUAAGGCUUUCUUUAUAAAUUUUAGUUGCAUAAUAUAACAAUUUUAAUAUAAUGCUAAUUUUUAAAGAAAAAUUGAAAUGUAAUAGAUAAAACUAAGUAGUAAAGAUGAAAACCAUAAAAAUGGGAUAAAGUAUAGAAUAAAUUUCCUAUUUGUCUCAGCAUAUUUUCCAUUCCACUUCUCCAGUGGGAGUCACUUAAUCUGUUUCUUAAGAUUCAUGAUAUAAUAAUCUGUGUGAAUGUAAUUGUGUUUAAAUGUAUGUAUUUUAUUCUGUAAAAAAUAAAAAUAAAAUU
rnacentral:lncRNA from 1 species